UUUAUGUAUUUAUCAAAUUUGCUGCUCACAUUGCAAUGUAGGAUUGCUCCAUGUCCCUUCACCAUAACGAAAGACCAUCAAAUGAAGCCAGAACUGCUGCAAUAAAAUGGUCACAAAAUACAUUAAAUGGUGGUCAAUUUAUCACUUACGUUAAGUUUAAACCAAUCUACGUAUCAUCCCAACUUAAAUAUAGGUCUCGUUUCAAGGAUAUUGAAAAGCAGGGUGUCUCUCAUGUGCAACUUACAAUUUAACAAAUUAAAUGGGCUGUUGUGCAUUUUCUGGGUUGUAUGGCCAUGUUCCAGAAGCAUUCUCUCCUGAUGUUUCGCCCACACCUCAGAGGUUGUGAAGUACAGUAGAGUCUCACUUAUCCAACACUCGCUUAUCCAACGUUCUGGAUUAUCCAACACAUUUUUGUAGUCAAUGUUUUCAAUAUAUCGUGAUAUUUUGAUGCUAAAUUCAUAAAUACAGUAAUUACUACAUAGCAUUACUGCAUAUUGAACUACUUUUUCUGCUGAAUUUGUUGUCUAACAUGAUGUUUUGGUGCUUACUUUGUAAAAUCAUAACCUAAUUUGAUGUUUAAUAGGCUUUUCCUUAAUGCCUCCUUAUUAUCCAACAUAUUCGCUUAUCCAACAUUCUGCCGGCCCGUUUAUGUUGGAUAAGUGAGACUCUACUGUAUAUUGGAAAACUAAGCAAGGGAGGUUUAUAUAUCUGUGGAAUGUCAUAAAUAAAAGCUGUCAAUUUUUGGCAGUGACAAUUCGAGCUUAAGUCUAGAUACUAAGAAAGCAGAACAUCAGCGUUGAAACAUCUCCUUAAGCAUGAACAAGGAAUCCAAAUAGCUUUGUGGAAGGUCCAGAUUUUGUGUUCACAGGGACACUAAACUUUCCCAUGAACAACCUGAAAAUUCCCUUUUCCAAAGGCUUAAUCUUUCCAUCCACUCAAUGGUGCCUUCACCAGUUGGCCAUUCUAGGUCUUCACCCAACGUUGCCCAAAUGUGAACCGAGCCCCAGAGAUCACUGGUUUCUAUUUAUAUCGUCCUCCAACUGCAUCACCUCAACUGCUGUUCUGAAAAGUUUCUUGAUUUUCAUCAGUUAUUUUUCUUACAGUAGGAAGAAAGAUGGCAGGACCGCAUCCAUGGACUUCAAACCAAGUUUAUUAUGUUUUGUGUUUGACGAGUCACUGUCAAUCCUCCACAUUCACUGAGUUAAGAACAGAGAAUCCCCUCUAAAGUAAAAAAAACCUGCAAAUAAAAAAAUGCUAUUUUUUCUGUCUAGGAGAAUACUUCUCUAGAAAUGUUUACAUUUCCAGGCUGAAUCUAUGUUUGACCUUCCUGGAAAAGAACCAUAGAAUUGCACUGGAGACCUACAGAUUCCUAAAGAAGUGUUUUCUCUAGAAAUCUCUAGAUCUUCCAACAUGACUGGAGGAGCUAUGGAGGGAAGACUGUACUAAUACAAUAAGAGCAAAAUGACAUAUAUGUCAAAGUCAAACAGGCAAAAUGCUGUAAAAACCUAGAUGCAAUGUGCUGGAAAUGUAAAACUGAAAAAGGCACCUUCCUCCACAUGUGGUGGAAUUGUCCCAAAGCAAGAAAAUACUGGGAAAAAAGUCCACGAUGCUAUCCAGAAAAUCUUACAAGAACGGAUAAAUUUUAAACCAGACUACCUUUUGAUAGGAAUUAUAGAUAUGAAAUUGGAGAAAAACAAAUACAUCCUCCUUAGCUAUUUGACAACGGCAGCAAGAAUCGAAUUUGCAAGGUAUUGGAGAUCAGAAGAAAUGCGACAAUUAAAGAGUGGCUGACAAAAAUGGUAGAGAUCAUGAAAAUGGAUAAAUUAACACAAGAACUAUCAUAUAGUCAGAACAAAAUCAGAAAAGAAACAGACUGGUCCCAUCUGAUAAAUUACAUGAAAAAAGAGAAGAUGAAAAUCUUAAUAUAAACAAGAAUAAAGAAACCAGAAAGAAAACAUGGUCUCUUGAAUUCAAUGAAAAUAAAAACAACAAAUAGUAAUUAAGACAACUUUCAAAUGAGGCUCAUUAGGAAGAGUAAGGAACAUUUUAGAAAACAUCCUUUACCCCCUUUCCCACGUAAGCCCACUCCCAUACUCACACCUCUUCCCUAUACCCCACCAGCCUUUCCCCAUGCUUUUAGCCUUUUAUUUUUAACCCUUUUCACUUUGGAAAUCAAUUAAAAAUAAUUAAAUAUAUAUAUGUCAAAGUCAAGUUAUGAGGAACUUACUCCCAGGCAAAUGAAUGCAGGAUUGCAGAAUCAAGUUGUCUGGAAAUAAUCUAUAAUGCUGAAUCAAUCUAGAUUUGAAUGUACUUCAUGUAAAUCCAUGAAAAUCUACUAAGUAUAAGAGCUAGUAAAAAGGUAAAGGUUUCCCCUGACAUGAAGUCCAGUCAUGUCCGACUCUGGGGGUUGGUGCUCAUUUCCAUUUCUAUGCUAAAAAGCCGGUGUUGUCCAUAGACACCUCCAAGGUCAUGUGGCCGGCAUGACUGCAUGGAGUGCCGUUACCUUCCCGCUGGAGCAGUACCUAUUGAUCUACUCACAUUUGCAUGUUUUAGAACUGCUAGGUUGGCAGACGCUGGGGCUAACAGAGGGUGCUCAUUCCGCUCUCCAGAUUCGAAACUGCGACCUUUUGAUAUAAGAGCUAUCCAAUGCUUAUUUUCAGCUAAAGCGUUGUAGAUCCAUGAACUCCAUGGAGUUUACAGAAGCAUUGACUUGCCAAGUUCCCAUUGAGUUAAUGGGCUUACUCUACCAAGCACUGACAAUUGGGAUUUAGCCUUGUUUGAUGUCAGUUAUUUAAUUCCAACUGAUUUCAGUAGACCAGUGCUUAGUAGGGCUAAAUGUAGAUCCAGUUCUUAAAUAUGAGUGUUGCUGGAUUUCAGAUCUUCUACUUGCCUUUCCAAACUCAAAUCUUCUUUCUGUCUAAACAGUUUGCAGGCAGUUUUCCACCUCGAGGCAUGUCAGAUGCAUAUUUAAUAGGGAUGCAUUUAUAUGUUUUAGUGCUUUAUUUCUUUGUUGCCUAAUAGAGCAUUUAUCUUUGUUAUUCACAUUUUCCUCCAACUAUUUUGGAUGCCAUUAUGGAGUUAAAGAAGACAUACGGCAAGGUCUAAAUAAACGCCGUAAAAGAUAAUACCGCAUAUUUCUUCCAUGUCAGGGGGUAUUAAUUUUGUCUCACAUAAGAAAAUGCACAAAUCAAAUUGUAAAUGAGGAGUCAUUUGGAACACGAUUAUGCAUGAGUAAAUGCUACAAAGUGUCAUCUCAAAUAUAAACAACAACAACACAAUAAUCUAGUAAUAUACUACCCACGAUUUUGGAAAGCAUUAUUCUUUCCAAAGCGAGUGGUAACAAGAAUAACUCAGAAUACAUUAAAAAUCAGGAACUGAGUGACAAAGAAUUGAUACAUCUUUUGGCGCAUAGGGAUACUUUGCCUUUAUUUGAAGUGUGUAAAGUACAAAAAUACAUUAUUAUUUAUUAAAUUUAUCCUCCCUUCUGUGGUCAAAGUGGCAUUUCUAAACAAUAACCCAAUGAUGGGAUAUCAUUAGUCUAAAAGAACACAAUACUAACACACAAAUACAUACAGAGACACAAUUAGUAAUAGAAUCACCCAGUGAAAUAAUGUCUGUGUCAAAGAAGAAAUUAUGACAACUAGCACCUACUGAAGUUCCAAUAUCUAUCUACAUAACCAUUAAUGGUUCAGGAGCCUUACCUUUUAUUAAACAUGGCAAUCCAACUUCAACUUAGGACCACCAUAUGUCAAAAAUAACUUGAAGGCCCACAUCAACAACAACUUGUUUCUCUCCAGAGCAAAGUGAAAGAUGAGCACUGCUGCUCCACAACUGAGAUGGAAGGAGAAUUAAAUAAAUCCAUAGACACAUGCAAGUCCUGGAGCGUUUUUGCAAGUUGCAUCAACAAAUCAAUCACACAAUGGAGCAAACUGAUGUUCUACUAGCCAAAUAGGAGAUUUCCACACAACCCUUUCCUGCUGCCCAGAUCUGAGAUCACCAAAACUGGAGCUGUUGAACUUACUGACUGAAAGGUUCGUGGUUCAAAUCUGAGGAGUAGGGUGAG
ensembl:lncRNA